rnacentral:piRNA from 1 species
GACACAAGUAGUACCUGAAGCAGAUAGA